rnacentral:rRNA from 1 species
UACGGAGGGUGCUAGCGUUGUUCGGAAUCACUGGGCGUAAAAGGGCGUGUAGGCGGCCUGCUAAGUCUGAUGUGAAAUCCCCCUCGCUCAACGAGGGAACUGCGUCGGAUACUGGCAGACUCGAGUACCGGAGAGGAAGGUGGAAUUCCCGGUGUAGCGGUGAAAUGACGUAGAUAUCGGGAGGAACACCGGUGGCGAAGGCGGCCUUCUGGACGGAUACUGACGCUGAGACGCGAAAGCGUGGGGAGCAAACAGG